rnacentral:ncRNA from 1 species
GAACUAAUUCAGACUGUGAAAUUAUAGAUGGCUCAUUAAAUCCGUUAUAGUUUCUUUGAUGGUACCCUACUACUCGGAUAACCGUAGUAAUGAGUACAAUCUAAAUUACUUAACGAGGAUCCAUUGGAGGGAAAGUUUGGUGCCAACAACCGUGGUAAUUCCAACUCCAAUAUUGUAUAUUGAAGUUUUUGUAGUUAAAAAUAUCGUAGUUGGAUAUUGGGUCGUAAAGGUCGGUCUGCCUACUUGGUGUGCACCUACCCUUCCGUCCCUUUUGUCGACGGCGUGCUCCUAGCCUUAAUUGGCUGGUCAGUCGCGGUUCCGGCAUUGUUACUUUGAAAAAAUUAAAGUGCUCAAAACAAGCUUAUGCUCUGAAUACAUUAACAUGGAAUAACGUGAUAGGAGUUUGGUCCUAUUGUGUUGGACUUCGGGACUGGAGUAAUGAUUAAUAUGGACUGUCGAGGGCAUUUGUAUUUCAUUGUCAGAGAUGAAAUUCUUGGAUUUAUGAAAGACGAACCACUGCGAAAGCAUUUGCCAAGGAUGUUUUCAUUAAUCAAGAAUGAAAUUUGGGGGCUCAAAGAUGAUCAGAUAUCGUCCUGGUCUCAACCAUAAACGAUGUCGACCAUGGAUCGACGGAUGUUUCUCUAAGGACUCCACCAGCACCUUCUAAGAAAUCAGAGUGUUUGGGUUCCGGGGGGGAGUAUGGUCACAAGGCUGAAACUACAAGGCUGUAUUAAAAACUCUCUUGGUCUCCCAACCUCAGCCAAGUUGUAUUAAAA